rnacentral:lncRNA from 1 species
GUGAGAAACCGCCAUUUUCUUUGCGCUGUCUUUGAGGGGAAGCGAGUGAAAUUCUGUGUGAGACGUAAGUUAUUUAGUGUGUAUUUAACAAUUUUCAUAAGAAAUAACACACUUAGUUUACUUAGUAUAAUAUACACGCGCUUUUUUUCUGUUUCUCCGCCUGAUGGCUGACUUGUUGCUCCGCCUCACGCUGACCUGUGCUCGCCUUAUGGCUGAACUGUUGCUCCGAGUCCGCCUGACGAGCCACCUGUUUCUCCGGAUCUGUUUCUCCGCCUAACGGCGACCUGUUUCUCCGGACCUGUUUCUCCGGACCUGAUUCUCCGCCUAACGGCGACCUGUUUCUCCGGACCUGUUUCUCCGCCUAACGCCCGAGCUGUUGCUCCACCUAACGCCUGACCUGUGCUCGCCUCACGCCCGACCUGUUGCUCCGCCUCACGGGCAGCCUGUUGAUCGGUGGACGGGUAAGCGCGCAUGGCAUCGGAAGGAGCUCGAAAAGUAUAAGGUGAUGACAGUAAGUAACGUUACUGUGAUUUGUGAUCUUUCUGGGGUGUAAGUAAGUAAUGGAUAAUUGCGUGAAAAUCAAACUAAAAGAAUGCAAUCUUGAGGAGUUAAUCCCCACAUUUGAAGCACAGGAGCGAACCUUUUCUCGUUUUUAGGUCAAUUUGAAUACAAUUCAGAGGG